rnacentral:rRNA from 1 species
AUUGAACGCUGGCGGCAGGCUUAACACAUGCAAGUCGAGCGGAUGAAGGGAGCUUGCUCCUGGAUUCAGCGGCGGACGGGUGAGUAAUGCCUAGGAAUCUGCCUGGUAGUGGGGGAUAACGUCCGGAAACGGGCGCUAAUACCGCAUACGUCCUGAGGGAGAAAGUGGGGGAUCUUCGGACCUCACGCUAUCAGAUGAGCCUAGGUCGGAUUAGCUAGUUGGUGGGGUAAAGGCCUACCAAGGCGACGAUCCGUAACUGGUCUGAGAGGAUGAUCAGUCACACUGGAACUGAGACACGGUCCAGAGUCCUACGGGAGGCAGCAGUGGGGAAUAUUGGACAAUAGGCGAAAGCCUGAUCCAGCCAUGCCGCGUGUGUGAAGAAGGUCUUCGGAUUGUAAAGCACUUUAAGUGGGGAGGAAGGGCAGUAAGUUAAUACCUUGCUGUUUUGACGGUACCAACAGAAUAAGCACCGGCUAACUUCGUG